rnacentral:rRNA from 1 species
UACGGAGGGGGCUAGCGUUGUUCGGAAUUACUGGGCGUAAAGCGCACGUAGGCGGAUUGCUAAGUCAGGGGUGAAAUCCUGGAGCUCAACUCCAGAACUGCCUUUGAUACUGGCGAUCUCGAGUCCGGGAGAGGUGAGUGGAACUGCGAGUGUAGAGGUGAAAUUCGUAGAUAUUCGGAAGAACACCAGUGGCGAAGGCGGCUCACUGGCCCGGUACUGACGCUGAGGUGCGAAAGCGUGGGGAGCAAACAGG